rnacentral:pre_miRNA from 1 species
AGGGGAGGCCGGAUCCUGGGCUGUGUCCCGGCGCCCUGUGCUCCAGGGCCUGCGCUGUUGGAUUCGCGCUCCCGCCCCACAGCCCCCU